UCGCACAAUGUUUACCAAAAAAAAUAUAUAUAUCACAAUACACUCGCGAGUUCGAUGGGCAUAAUUAUCUGAGCUCCCAGACCCUCUCACCAUUAUCAUAUUGCGCUCAUGAUGUAAACAUGACUAUCCAAAACUUUUCUGGAGGGAGAGUUAGAAAAUACGACAUUAAAUUCAAUUCUCGGGCAAAUAAGUCAUUGCAAAUGUGUUAUUUUCCGCUUCAAUUGCAAAUGACCAGG
rnacentral:lncRNA from 1 species